UACGUAGGGCGCAAGCGUUGUCCGGAAUUAUUGGGCGUAAAGAGCUCGUAGGCGGUUUGUCGCGUCGGCUGUGAAAGCCCGGAGCUCAACUCCGGGUCUGCAGUCGAUACGGGCAGACUUGAGUGUUGCAGGGGAGACUGGAAUUCCUGGUGUAGCGGUGAAAUGCGCAGAUAUCAGGAGGAACACCGGUGGCGAAGGCGGGUCUCUGGGCAACAACUGACGCUGAGGAGCGAAAGCGUGGGGAGCGAACAGG
rnacentral:rRNA from 1 species